rnacentral:rRNA from 1 species
CCUACGGGGGGCACCAGUGGGGAAUAUUGCACAAUGGGCGCAAGCCUGAUGCAGCCAUGCCGCGUGUAUGAAGAAGGCCUUCGGGUUGUAAAGUACUUUCAGCGGGGAGGAAGGCGAUAAGGUUAAUAACCACAGCAAUUGACGUUACCCGCAGAAGAAGCACCGGCUAACUCCGUGCCAGCAGCCGCGGUAAUACGGAGGGUGCAAGCGUUAAUCGGAAUUACUGGGCGUAAAGCGCACGCAGGCGGUCUGUCAAGUCGGAUGUGAAAUCCCCGGGCUCAACCUGGGAACUGCAUUCGAAACUGGCAGGCUAGAGUCUUGUAGAGGGGGGUAGAAUUCCAGGUGUAGCGGUGAAAUGCGUAGAGAUCUGGAGGAAUACCGGUGGCGAAGGCGGCCCCCUGGACAAAGACUGACGCUCAGGUGCGAAAGCGUGGGGAGCAAACAGGAUUAGAUACCCUUGUAGUC